AAAAUCUCAUUGUCCUUGGUAUCUCUCAUAAUCACAAACACAAGAGUGAAGAAUUUGCCGACAUGGCCUCAGCUUGUGCUUCAUCCACCAUUGCUGCUGUUGCUUUUUCUUCUCCAAGUUCGAGGAGAAAUGGAUCAAUUGUAGGAACAACAAAAGCUUCAUUCCUUGGAGGAAGAAGAUUGAGAGUAAGCAAAUACAGUACUACACCUACAGCACGAAGUGCAACUACAGUGUGCGUUGCUGCAGACCCUGACAGACCCCUCUGGUUCCCUGGCAGCACCCCACCUCCAUGGCUUGAUGGCAGCCUUCCCGGAGACUUCGGUUUCGAUCCUCUUGGUCUAGCAUCUGAUCCAGAGAGCUUGAGAUGGAACCAACAGGCAGAACUUGUACACUGCAGAUGGGCAAUGUUGGGAGCUGCAGGAAUUUUCAUUCCAGAAUUACUCACAAAAAUUGGAAUACUUAACACACCUUCAUGGUACACUGCUGGUGAACAAGAAUAUUUCACGGACACAACGACUCUCUUCAUCGUUGAAUUGGUACUUAUUGGUUGGGCUGAGGGAAGAAGAUGGUCAGAUAUGAUUAAG
rnacentral:misc_RNA from 1 species